rnacentral:rRNA from 1 species
CCGGCGCACGGGUGAGUGACGCGUAUGUAAUCUACCUGUAACAGAGGGAUAACCCGGAGAAAUCCGGACUAAUACCUCAUAGCACAUAUUAUUCGCAUGAAUUUUAUGUUAAAGAGACUCGGUUACAGAUGAACAUGCGUUCCAUUAGCUAGUUGGCGGGGUUACGGCCCACCAAGGCAACGAUGGAUAGGGGUUCUGAGAGGAAGGUCCCCCACACUGGUACUGAGACACGGACCAG